UAUCAUUACAAAAUCACAUGCAAAGAUAUGUGUUCCUCAAAAUUGCAUUAGUAAGAAUAUCAUCACUGUUUAAAUAUCAAGGCAUGAACACAAAUAAAUUUCAAUUCGAGUUUCACUCCAAUUACAGGUUCUUCAAACAGUAACUUUUUACAUAAACGAAAACAGAAAAUUUCAAGAAAUUUGUUGUACAGGCAGCAAUGAUUAACAGAUGAUGUGACAAAUCUAACAGUUAAUCUCUCAAUCAUGUUAUAAGUACAAAAUUUUUUGACAGAAAAUUCUUACAGACAACACAUUUUGUCACGUCAAUAUCGGUACACAUUCCAUUAAAUUUUUCGUGUACUUGGAGCUUUAUUCUUAAUCUCUGGACCAAGUUUAGGAAGAUCCACUAAAGCUUAUCUCCAUGCCUCUUCCACCUAUUCCCGCAAUAUAACA
rnacentral:lncRNA from 1 species